rnacentral:misc_RNA from 1 species
ACCGCGUCGCCCCCCACCCCAAACCAAGGGGAUCGGGGGCGGAUUAUGGCCCCCCGUGCGCUCCUAGCUCGCGGUCGGCCUAAACACAGACCCCGUGGCCGCGAAACGCCGCGAUGAUUGGUGGUGUACUUGUGGCCUUGUGCCCCGAGCAUCGCGUCGCGGCUUUGGCGUGCCAUGUGUGCUCAAAGGACCCCAAGGAGGACCCCCGUCACCCCGAGUGCCGUUGGGGACCUCCAAACCGUU